GACGAACGCUGGCGGCGUGCUUAACACAUGCAAGUCGAACGGAAAGGCCCGGCGCUUGUGGCGUUCUCGAGUGGCGAACGGGGGAGUAACACGCGAGGAACCUGCACUUGACUUUGGGAGAACUUCAGGAAACUGGGGCGAAUAUCGGGGAGGAGCUCCUGCUGCGUGUGGGGGGUUGGAAAGUGUCGGCGGUUGUGGAUGGACUCGCUGCUUAUGAGCUUGUUGGUGAGGUAGUGGCUUACCAAGGCUUUGACGGGUAGCCGGCCUGAGAGGGUGACCGGCCACCUUGCGCCUGAGAUACGGCCCAGACUCCUACGGUCGGCAGCAGUCGAGAAUAUUGCACAAUGGGCGGAAGUCUGAUGCAGAAGCGCCGCGUGCGGGAUGCCGGCUUUCGGGUUGUAAACCACUUUCGCCUGUGACGAAGCGUAAUUGACGGUACUGAGUCAAGAAGCACCGGCUAACUACGUG
rnacentral:rRNA from 1 species